AUCUAUAUAAUAUAAUUAUUAUAUUUAACUUCCAAUUAAAAAAUCUAUUAUUAAUAGUAUAGAUA
rnacentral:tRNA from 1 species